rnacentral:rRNA from 1 species
UAGUAUAUGCUUGUCUCAAAGGCUAACCCAUGCAUGUCUAAUUACUUGCUGCCCUAAAGUGAAACCGCAAAUGGCUCAUUAAAUCAUUUGUGUUCUACUAAAUGUGAAUCACAUACACGGAUAACUGUGGUAAUUCUAAAGCUAAUACGUGCACCUAAUUCCCAAUAGCGCUGGCCCUCGCGGUCAAUGUUAAAAGGACCCAUUUAUUAAACCAAAACCAAUGGAGCGUCGGCUUCGGUCGCUCGUUCCUCGUCGGGGUGACUCUGGAUAACUCACGCUAAUCGCAUGACCUACGUGUCGGCAACAAAUCUUUCAAGCGUCUGCCUUAUCAACUGUCAAUGGUAGUUUAACUGACUACCAUGGUUGUAACGGGUAACGGGAAAUCAGGGUUCGGUUCCGGAAAGGGAGCCUGAAAAACGGCUACCACAUCCAAGGAAGGCAGCAGGCACGCAAAUUACCCACUUCCAAAGCGAAGAGGUAGUGACAAAAAAUAACAAUGCACCACUCUAUUGAGGCGCUGCAUUUGGAAUGAAAACAAUCUAAAUCCUUUAACGAGGAUCUAUUGA